rnacentral:rRNA from 1 species
UACGGAGGGGACUAGCGUUGUUCGGAAUUACUGGGCGUAAAGCGCACGUAGGCGGCUUUGUAAGUCAGGGGUGAAAUCCCGGGGCUCAACCUCGGAACUGCCUUUGAUACUGCAAAUCUCGAGUCCGGAAGAGGUGAGUGGAAUUCCUAGUGUAGAGGUGAAAUUCGUAGAUAUCUGGAGGAACACCGGUGGCGAAGGCGGCAUCCUGGACCGAUAUUGACGCUGAUGCGCGAAAGCCAGGGGAGCAAACGGG